rnacentral:rRNA from 1 species
UACAGAGGGUGCGAGCGUUGUCCGGAAUCACUGGGCGUAAAGGGUGCGUAGGCGGUUUGGUAAGUCUUAUGUGAAAUCUACAGGCUCAACUUGUAGUCUGCAUGAGAAACUGCCGGGCUUGAGUAUGGGAGAGGUGAGUGGAAUUCCUGGUGUAGCGGUGAAAUGCGCAGAUAUCAGGAGGAACACCGGUGGCGAAGGCGGGUCUCUGGGCCGAUACUGACGCUGAGGAGCGAAAGCGUGGGGGGCGAACAGG